rnacentral:rRNA from 1 species
UACAGAGGGUGCAAGCGUUAAUCGGAAUUACUGGGCGUAAAGCGCGCGUAGGUGGUUAUGUAAGUUGGAUGUGAAAUCCCCGGGCUCAACCUGGGAACUGCAUCCAAAACUGCAUGGCUAGAGUAUGGUAGAGGGUGGUGGAAUUUCCUGUGUAGCGGUGAAAUGCGUAGAUAUAGGAAGGAACAUCAGUGGCGAAGGCGACCACCUGGACUAAUACUGACACUGAGGUGCGAAAGCGUGGGGAGCAAACAGG